rnacentral:rRNA from 1 species
AGUAACUGCGAGUGAAGUGGCAAAAGCUCAAAUUUGAAAUCCGGUGCCUUUGGUGCCUGAGUUGUAAUUUGGAGAGACAAAUUUGGUUGACGGCGCCGGCCUAGGUUCCUUUGAACAGGACAACACAGAGGGUGAGAAUCCCGUGCCUGGCUGGUUGACCGUCACGUUUCUAAAUUGUCUUCGACGAGUCGAGUUGUUUGGGAAUGCAGCUCAAAAUGGGUGGUAAAUGUCAUCUAAAGCUAAAUAUUGGCGAGAGACCGAUAGCGCACAAGUAGAGUGAUCGAAAGAUGAAAAGCACUUUGAAAAGAGAGUCAAAAAGUACGUGAAAUUGCUGAAAGGGAAGCGCUUGAGACCAGACUCGAACCGUGGUGAUCAGCCGUGCUUCUGUGCGGUUUCACUUGCCAGGGUUUGGGCCAGCAUCGGUUCUGGCGGCCGGACAAAAGGUGGGGGAAUGUAGCUUCCUUCGGGGAGUGUUAUUUAGCCCCCACCACAAUGCGGCCAGCUGGGACCGAGGACCGCGCGGGCUUCCGCUAGGAUGCUGGCGUAAUGGUCUUAAGCGACCCGUCUUGAAACACG